rnacentral:lncRNA from 1 species
CUCUUAACUUCAAACACCUAAUGUUCCUUUCUCUUUUUGUCCUAACCAAAAAAACAUGGCAUUCCUUAAACUCUUCACAUUCUCAAUCUCUCUCUUCCUAUUAAUCUCUCACUCACUUUCUCUCUCUUCUUCUUCUUCCGUUCAUGACCUUCUUCGUUCAAAAGGGUUACCACCUGGACUAUUACCAGAAGAGGUAAACUCAUAUACUUUCUCAGAAGAUGGACACUUAGAAGUGUUCUUAGAUGCACCUUGUUUGACCAAGUACGAGAAUAGGGUGUUCUUUGAACGUGUGGUAACUGCUAACCUAACCUAUGGUAGCCUCAUAGGUGUGGAGGGUCUUCAACAAGAAGAGCUUUUUGUAUGGCUACCUGUUAAGGAUAUCAUAGUUAAUGAUCCUUCAUCAGGGUUGAUUCUCUUUGACAUUGGCCUUGCUUAUAAACAUCUUUCUCUCUCUCUCUUUGAAGAUCCACCUCAUUGCAAGCCACAAGAAGAGAUUCAAGGAGCAAUAAGGAACUCUACGGUUGGAAGAUCACAUACCCAGUAACCUUCAACCAUUAUCAAUGGCAAACUCAGGUACGCUUCCGCUUAUGGUUUUGUUAUUCCUUGAUGAUUAAUAUGAUUGAAUCUAGGGUUUAUGAAUCAAUAUGAUUCCAACAAAAAGUUGGGAUGGUAUGAUUAUGCAAUCUUCCUAAUUAUAUCCUCACAACGAAACACAAUUACCACAAGUACACAAAGUUAUCAUCAUUAUCUUGUACACACUAAAUAUUGGAUAAAACCAGGAACCAAAUGAAUUAAACCGAUUUCUACCGUUUUGCUUGCAUGACUGAUCCAAUAUGUGGCUCGAACGAGUUUGAUUUAUAGGAUGUUCCAAAUUUUCUUUUUUACAAUAACAUGGAUGCAUGGAAUCACAGUUUUGUC